rnacentral:rRNA from 1 species
AUGAUUCAUACACCUUAUCACACAAUGAAUGUCAACUGGAAGCCUGCCUUCUUGCCAUCUAUGCAGCAAGUCAAACAAGCAAUGGUCCUAGAAGAAGAAGACGAAAACAUACUUGUCAAAAUCACUACACAAAGAGAGAUGUGUACAUUGACAUGUGGCAUUAAAGGCAUCAAUUCCACAGAGAAAUCAUUGCCGGAUGAAGUGCAAGGAAGAGGUACGAAACCGCGAACCUGCUUCGAAGCGAGGACUGCAAUCUUGUACUUGGGGUCAAUGUCAGGUACGCGCACAGUGGAUUUCUGCGCAUUGAAGCAGUCCGACAGAUGGAGGAAGUCGGUGCGAAGCAUGUCGCGCGGCCAUAGCCUUGGAUUGUAG